GACGGGGGGAUGCAAGUGUUAUCCGGAAUAAUUGGGCGUAAAGCGUCUGUAGGUGGUUUACCAAGUCUGUUGUUAAAAAAUCAGGGCUUAACCCUGAUCCGGCAACAGAAACUAGUAGGCUGGAGUACGGUAGGGGCAGAGGGAAUUCUCGGUGUAGUGGUGAAAUACGUAGAUAUCGAGAAGAACACCAAUAGCGAAAGCACUCUGCUGGGCCGAAAACUGACAUUGAG
rnacentral:rRNA from 1 species